UGGCUGGAUUAGGCACCGGCCUUCUAAGCCGGCGGUUACAGGUUCGAUUCCUGU
rnacentral:tRNA from 2 species